rnacentral:rRNA from 1 species
CCUACGGGGGGCAGCAGUGGGGAAUAUUGGACAAUGGGGGAAACCCUGAUCCAGCGACGCCGCGUGAGUGAAGAAGUAUUUCGGUACGUAAAGCUCUAUCAGCAGGGAAGAAAAUGACGGUACCUGACUAAGAAGCCCCGGCUAACUACGUGCCAGCAGCCGCGGUAAUACGUAGGGGGCAAGCGUUAUCCGGAUUUACUGGGUGUAAAGGGAGCGUAGACGGCAGUGCAAGUCUGGAGUGAAAGGCCGGGGCUCAACCCCCGGACUGCUCUGGAAACUGUACAGCUGGAGUGCAGGAGAGGUAAGCGGAAUUCCUAGUGUAGCGGUGAAAUGCGUAGAUAUCAGGAGGAACACCAGCGGCGAAGGCGGCUUACUGGACUGUAACUGACGUUGAGGCUCGAAGGCGUGGGGAGCAAACAGGAUUAGAUACCCGAGUAGUC